rnacentral:rRNA from 1 species
GCACGGCUCAGUAAAACGUGGACAACCUGCCCUCGGGUGGGGGAUAACCCCGGGAAACUGGGGCUAAUACCCCAUAGGUGAUGGGUGCUGGAAUGCCCCAUCACCCAAAGCUCCGGCGCCCGAGGAUGGGUCUACGGCGGAUUAGGUUGUUGGCGGGGUAACGGCCCGCCAAGCCGAAGAUCCGUACGGGCCAUGAGAGUGGGAGCCCGGAGAUGGACCCUGAGACACGGGUCCAGGCCCUACGGGGCGCAGCAGGCGCGGAACCUUUACAAUGCGGGAAACCGUGAUAAGGGGACCCCGAGUGCCCCUGCCACGCAGGGGCUGUCCGGGUGUGUAAAAAGCACCCGACAGCAAGGGCUGGGCAAGACCGGUGCCAGCCGCCGCGGUAACACCGGCAGCCCGAGUGGUGGCCACUAUUAUUGGGUCUAAAGCGUCCGUAGCCGGCCUAGUAAGUCUCUUGGGAAAUCUGGCAUCUCAAGUGUCAGGCUGCCAGGGGAUACUGGUCGGCUUGGGACCGGGAGAGGUGAGAGGUACCUCGGGGGUAGGGGUGAAAUCUUGUAAUCCUCGAGGGACCACCAGUGGCGAAGGCGCCUCACCAGA